CGAUCAUAACUGUACAUUUUGUUUUCACAGACUAAUCUCGCCUCAUAAUGAGGCGGUGACCUCCUAUUUGCUCUGAGCAAUAUAUGCAAGUCCAGAUUUACACGAUGUUGAUAAAGACGACAUUGUGUCCGCUUGUAAGACGUAUUAUGAGACGGUACGCAGGAGCUUCAGAUAUACGCAGCCAGAGAACUCAAUGCGGGCGGAAGCUGCC